UAACACAAAAUUCAAAUUACAACACAAGUAGUACGAAGUGCAAUUGCUUAAAAUGUAUACUAGCACGUUUGCUGUGUAUGUAUACACGUCCAUUUUCACAUUUGCCAGCAGCAUUAUUCAUCUACUGAAUCAAUAGCAAUGGAAAAGGUAUUGUUGCAGCACAUAUGGAGGUUCAUCUCCCCUACAAGUUUAAUUGUUCGUCUCAUCGGAGGAAAAGGUAUUGUUGCAGCACAUAUGGAGGUUCAUCUCCCCUACAAGUUUAAUUGUUCGUCUCAUCGGAGGGGAGUGGCCUACAAAAGAAAGAAAAAAAUACAUGUUGCAUUCAACGGCAUGGAAAUGAAUGUAGAUUCAAUGCUCUGUUUAUACAGAUUAGCUGUGAUUUCUCUAAGUUAAAAGUUGUUUCGAUCGAAUUUAUAAAAUUCUACUGUAAACAUUUCUAAUGAAUCCCACAGCCACCUAUUUACCAAACUGACAAAUUUAACUAAGCAAAAACAGAAAGCCUCAAGUUUUAGAAUGACAAAGCAUAUUUAUCAUGUUUCUUCAUGAGUAGACUAAGGUCAUUUGAGAAGCUUACUACAGUAUCAACGUUGCAAUAAUUUCAUCAAAAUCGAUUUCAAACAAGAUAGAUGAUACACAUAACAAGAUUAAAUGACAUGCUGCAAAAAAAGAAAACUUCAUUAGUGAGCACCAACCUAUAAAUUUGAGAAAGAAC
rnacentral:lncRNA from 1 species